rnacentral:misc_RNA from 1 species
UUUGCUAAACAAGGUUGUUAUUAAAUCUUCAAAACAUUUACAAGCAGGAAUUUCAACGUUUCUACACUUAACCUAGAGAAAAGUUCAUAACAAAAUGCUAUUUUCUGGAAGCUGCAUGGGAACUUCUAAUUUUGGCUUCUUACCUUAAUUCAUUCCAAAAAAAAUUCUAACAAAAACUACCAUCGAAGAGACUUUAGCAACAUAAAGCACUCAACAAUUUUAGACAACAAAUACAUAUAUAUAGAGUCUAUUUUAAAAAAGAAACCUUUAUGUUUCUUUCUCGUCUGCUUUGCUAAUGUUUCUCCACUUAUCUUUGAGGUCCCCCGGUGUCCUACCUUUCAUGAAAACAUCACCUCCAAAAUCUAGAAUCCUCUUCCAUCUAUCAUGAAAAUGUGAGAAUCGUAGCAAUCCCUCCUUUAAUGUUUCCUCCUCCAUUUUUGUCCAUGGGAGCUUCUUCCUCCUCAUUUGAGGAAUCCAGGGACAGAAAUUGUUUUCUUGAUUCCUAAAUUGUACAAGGUAUCCGGAACCUAUCUCAUCUUGCUCUUCUUCAGAACUUACUUCUAUAGAAGAACUUUCUUGGCACACAUGUUCAUGAGGAACAUGUGGUUGAGGUGGAUGGACCUGCGUGACCUCCGCAUGCAUAGAAUUUCUAGUUACUGGAUGACUUCCUGCUGGUUCAGCCUUCUCCAAAGAAUUUUUGUUUCUAUUCUCAUCAUGACACAAUUCUUCUUCCGAUCUGGACUGAUUCUGUCUUGAUCUAUGUCUUGAUCUCUGACAUCUAAGAGGUGAUUUGUCGGGUUGUUGACCAGCUACUAAGCAUUGUUCAGGUAGAGAAGCCUCUGGUUGAGGUGAACCAGUUUGCAUGACUUGAGCUCCGACAGAACUCCGGUAGGGUGGAGCACUUCCUGCUUCUCUGACCUCAUUCAACGAAUUCCUCCCACUAUCAUUGUGGGGUAGAGAAGUUCCUGGUUGAGGUGCACCAGUUUGCAUGACUUGAGCUCUGACAGAACUCCUG